UCCCUGGUAAAAUAUUUUCUCCUCCUGAGUAUAUUCACUGUACCUAAUCUAACUACGCCACUGCAUACCAACAGACAUGCAGAAACUGUGCACUUACAUGUGAGAUGACAAAGAAAGAAGUCCUCAUUGUUAUGUUAUUAAGGCUUAACUUAUGAGAAGGAUGUAUAACACCUGUGAUACUAACCCGGCUAUCAGUUCCACAUAGCAAUUCUCCCUCCCCCAAGCCAGAGUCAUUGUUAGCAGCUGUGAAACUCCUGCAGAGCGUGCUCCAGGGGCAGUGCUGUGGGGUUAAUCACACAGCAUGGUCGGCCAGCUCACAGCAGUUCAGAAGGGUUCCCGACAGCCUUUUGCAGGUAACUACUGUAAGAGCCACUGUCUUCCCUGGUGCUGGGGAGCUGAACUCAGGACCACUCUUUGUUAACUCCUAUAGCUAGGUCUUUUGGGGAGGGAUGGACUGUAAAAGUUGUGUGGUGCUGAAAGAAUGAGGCCUUGAAAUGCUUACUUGCGAGGUACAUUGCAUAAGCAACAAGGAAAACACUUCUACUUAAAACAAUGUCUCAAGCAUUCAAGGUUAACUGAAGCUGCCGAAGAAAAGAUUAGAAAAGAAACACAAGCGGUGUUCCCUCACAUGAAGGAGAGAGCGUGGUGUCAGCCACGAGGCAGAGUGAAGUAAGGAUCUGCGGCAGAGCCACCAGCUGCUCCUUCCCGCGGCCGAGCCCACCUGCAUGUUGCAGACCUUUUGUCUCAGGGCGAGCGCUGGCAUAGCACGAGGAUUCUUUCCCCGUUCAAAACAGCCACAGAAGCUGAGGAAAAUGAAUAUUCAAGAAAGAAGACCAAGAUAGUGUGGAAGAUGUCAAUUUGCCUGGAAAAUACUGAGUCUUUGGCACCGGGAGAAGAAAUACUAGGUUUUAGAGCAGCAUUCUUUGGAGCUAAGCACCAAAGAGAGGGAAAAAAUCACUAUCAAGAAGUUGGGGCUUGCCAGAGGUCACUUCUGCAGUUACACCAAGAAUUGGCUCCCAAUGCUGUUCUGCUGCUGUAGUGGGCACUGAAGAGCCCACUGAAGACCUCCCUCUCCUCACAGUCAUUUGUUCUUCUAAUCCUGAGGCCUCCUCCUGUCUCCUAUUUGCCAUGUCCUACUUCUGACAUUUUCUUUCUCGUUGCUUAUACUGGAACCCACUAUUUUCUGUACUUCUGCUUCAGGAGUGUCCUUUGAAUGUCUGAUGAUGACUGCAGUUCCUCUGCUGCAUAGCAUCUCAUGCUCUGUGAGCAGCAGGUCAGUCAUCCAACAACAAUUAAAUGGUGCUUAAAAACAGAACUGGCGCCACAGCCUCUGGGUGAAGGGGGAACAACCAGAAGGAUGAGAUGAUGUUGAUCCUCCUAAAAGGAAGAGUGGUUUUUUUGUCCAGAAAGGGACACAGAAACACAAAGCCAGGCUGAGAAAGGUGAAGAAAAAUUCACAAGCAAGCCCCUAUCCUCCUGAUUUAUGUGGAAACCUAUUUUUAUCCUCAACUAAAUUGCAAACAAGAAAAACCCACCCAACACAAAGCUAAAGGACUGUAAGCAGGACAUGUGGAAUGUUAUUUGGGAAUAACUCAAUGGAAAUUGGAAAAAAAGUCCUUUUUUCCUUGAAAAUGUUCAAUGAUAUUUGCCUUAUGUGUCCUGCAGACUUCAAACCGGCAAGGCUUUUUCCUUUUCCAAAGCUUGUAGCAGAUAAGCAGGAAUUGAUUUGAUAACAGAUGGAAAAACUGAAAAACUGCCUCCGCUUCAUUAAAGCCCCUCACAAGACUCUUAUAUAAGGGGCUGUGCAGAGAUCACUAAAGCUCAUCAUGGAGUCAGCCACCCGAUGACACCUGGUCACUUCCUAACAGGCACUGACUUUGAACUGGCAAGCAGUUUAAUAUACAAAUCCCACAAAAUUUAAGUCACGCGGUCUCCGGCAACGUCACUACAGAUCAGGGCUGUGCAGUAUGUGCCAGGAUGGCAAAUCAAGCUCUUGGAGCCUUUCCAUGGGACCCCAACCAGCUUUUAUUUAAAAACAGGCAAAAUGUUGAUGUGGAAGGACUACAAAAGCUUCCCUUAGGGUUCCUUAACAAAGCCUGACUGUCCAGUGUGAAUGUGAGUGCUCACACAGGAGCUCUGCUGAGAGCUCCACGUUCCCAAACCCUGACUGACCUCGUGGACGGGAACCGCCACAACCCCAACCUUACCCUGCUGGGGAGCAGGAGGAGAAGGAGAAGGAAGGGGGCAAGGAUGUUGGACACCUGCAGGCCCAGUGCUUCAGGAAGUCACCUGGAGUUUGGCUUGUGUAAGAACAGCAUGGCCAGACAGAAAACUGAAGGAGAGGAGGUGCUAGGAAAGUAUUUUUCACACACGGUGAGCGCGCAGAGGCCUAUGAGGCCUCACACGUGCAGAAGGCAGAACCUGAGGACAGCCUAACUCCCAGAUACGCUGCUUUACCAUGUCUGUGCAACUCUGAGGGGAUUUUCCCUCUGUAUCUCCUUAGGGAAAAUACAUUUGCAAAGGUGCCUGAAGCUGUGCAAAAGGUCCUAGUAAGCUUUAGAGAAAUGUCCCACUGAUUUAGGUGCCCGGUACCCGUUGGUGCGUGGUGAUGUUUAAGCUGCCUGAGAAGAUGCUUUUGCAAAUCCCCUUGGAUGGCUGCCGGUCUGCAGGUGCACCCGGUGUCUCUGUAAAGCUGGCCUUUUCCAUCACCUCAUCUGCUGCUCUGCUCAGACCUCCAGGUACCAGGCUUUGCCUCCGUUACCUAAAUGGGAUCCUUUAUGGUAUGGAGAACUGCAAGACCUCUUUGCUUUACUAAGGUAGGUGUCUGAGGCAAGGUGUGAUUUGAAACAAGCUACCUUUUCUUCAGAUUUAGAAGACCAUGCAAAGUGUUUGAUCUCUCAGAAUGAAUUGUGUUACGCAAGGAAUUAGUAUUUAGAAACCUGGAAUGUAAUUAAACCUGGCCUCUAUUGUUUUAACAGGGCACUGUUAACCACGCUGCAUCUAACAACAAACAAGUAGUAACUGGGAUCUUACGUUUGGUCAAAGUAAGUUUAUAAACAGACCAAAUUUGCAGUUAGCUGAUCUUGCCUGAAAUACACAAGUGCUCUUCCCUUCUACCUGGCCACCUACACUGAGACCCGCAAUGAGAGCAGGUACCAUUUGGUACCAGUUAGGUGCUGGUAGGUAGGCAAAGGGCUUGUGUUUGUAAACAGUGCUCAUGGAAAUGCUCCAGGAAUGGCUACAUUGGAGUAAAUGCUGAGCCUUCCUUAGCCUGUUCCUUAUCGUUCACGGCAUUACUAUACCAGAUACAGCCCAGGGAAAUCUUGCUUUAUUCAGAUCUGCAGCUAUGUUCGUAUGCCAUGUCCCUUGUACUUGCUCAAGUGGAACGGUAUAAAGGUUAUGUAAAUCGAUGCUUACGUUAAGAUGUUACCUUGGAAUACGUUUUGGUGUCAAAUAUAUACACCAAACAGAUAAAAUAACCAUUAGCGCAAGUCUAAGAUCCAACUAGGCUGAGAAAUUUUGUGAUGUAAAUUUUUGACAAAAUGGCAGUGAAUUCUAAUUUUUGCAUGUCUGGAAUUGUCAGUAAUUGAAAGUAGCACAUGCAAUGAUAAGGGAGGUAAGGGUGGAUUUGUUGCCUGACUAUACUUUGCUAAGCAUUGCUUUAAUAUACCAUUCGCUUGUUAACGAUGCUGUCAAUUAUUUUACUAUAAAUUAGCUAUUGUGAGUUUGAGAUCUUUUUGCAGUGUCUGUCAUUAGGUUGGAGAAGCAUAAAUCAAACUCCCAUCUCUUUUUACAUCCAUAACCAUAACAUAUGGCUUUUAUUAGAAAAUGUUAAGUGUCUUUUAAUGUCUCCUUAAUGGACAGUGUGUGCAUGUGUUGAUGAUGAAAGCCAUCUUCCUUCAUGCAAAAUACUAAUGCAUACGGCCUGUGUCUCCAUAGAUACGAGUUAAGGAAUGGUAUUUAACCCAUGAAAUAUUCAGUAGACACUUAACUUCAGAAAUCGUGUUUCCCUAAUUUAACAGUCCUUUAAAAAAGAACAAGUUAAAGGUAAAUCAGGGGUUGAAUUCUAUCAGGUAUGCACAUGUAACUGUGAAUAAAUGGUAUAAUAACCACUGGGAAAAAAAAAAAAGUCUCCGUAAAAUGCCUAUUCCUAAAUGGAAAUACCCUCAGGGAAUUAGGAAACGUGUUUUGUUUUGUUUUGUUUUUUUUCCUGCUAGAAUUCCAGCUUGUACAUCAUAGACUCUUAAUAUUGGUUAUAUAUUUUGCUCUCCAACCUAAAAUAUCGGAAUGUUUCCAAGAAAAAUGGUGUUUUAACCUCUCAUCUGUUUGUAGCUUUUUUGUUGGGGCAGCUUUAUGCGUUCAGCCUUUGGAUCAGUCCACAGCAUCUUGGACAAGCACACUGCUUUGACCUGAGAUGUGUUCUACCAACAGAUUCCUGGCCACCAGAGAGAUCUGCUAUUCAAAUCGAUGCCUGCUAAUGUCAGGCUUGAUUAAAGGAAGCUAACUAAGCCUUUUGAAGGAUACCCUCCAGCCUUCCCUCUCUGUUUCCAUGUUCCCUUGGCAGAAAUCGGGGAUUUGAAAGCUGCAGUUCAACAGCAUCAUCCUUUCAUGUUGUGGUAAAUAUUUUAUUAUUCCUUUAUCCUCCGUGCUGUUUAAAGGAAUUCAUUUAAAAUAUUAACUUCUUUGUUCGGGGAGGAAGUCUCCAAAGGGUAUGCAAACAAGAACCUUUAGAAACGCACCAAGAUAUAACUCCAGGCUCUGCUCCAGCUUUCCCAUUCAUUCAGUCUGCAGACCUGGCGGCUCCCUGCUGGAGAUCUCUGCUCAGCCCAAAAGUCUCCAUCCAGCAGCCGGUCCCACCACCCAUUCAUACACAACCAGCUUCCCUGUCUCUGCUCCUUGCCUUUCCGCAGCUUUCCUGCAUCCAUCCAAUUUGCCCCUUAAUUUGAUCUCGCUCCUUUGAUCGUCCUCAGGAGCACUGCUCAUCCUCCCCCACCAGAGCACCAGCCAUCCCCACGGAGGGCUGGCAGCAGCUCUCUGCCUUCGCAAGGUAUGUUUAAGAGCAGAGUAACGCUUACCCAAGCCCACUUCUUUGUGAAGGCACUAUCCUUCACCUAUUUUUCCUGCUUAUCCAAACAGCUGCCCUGGGGCUUGAUCCUGCUGUUGCUCCUGAAGUAAAUGUGCUCCUUACCUUUAACUGCCCUUGCAGAAUCAGGCCCUAAUUCAUGUCACUGUCCUCAUAUGUAACAGCACCGCAGGCACCGACUGAGAGGAGUCGGGUGCCUGUUUAAGACCAUCUUUAUUCGCAGCUAUGCUGGGAACUGCACCAGUGUGCGCUCCCCUUCCCCAAACAACUGCAGGCACCGAGAGGGAGGAGUUGUCCUUCAGCAGCCAGGCAAGAAACCUGUCAAGCACGGUGUCCCUGCUACAUGAAUGAACCCUCUCCUCUGAUUAAUACUUUGCCUUUCCCACAAGGGAAAAAGACAGAGUAGGGAGGUAAGUGAGCGACUGAAUUAUCCAUUCUCAGAGAAGCAGGAUCAUAAAUAUUUAACGCGGUACGUAUGAGAACAGACUGCCUUUCCAGUCCAGGCUAAGAAACUCUCCAAAUCCCCUGCUCCCACAGGGACCGCCAGCUCCCGUGAUCCUUUUUCCAUCUCGUGAAGGGGAGAGAGCUGCUAGCUCAGAAGAGGGCUGGACAAAGGUGCCUCUCCUUACGGGGCUACACCUGACUGUCAAAAUCUGUGCGUGGAGGGAAAUGACCUGCGGGAACGGAGCUCUCCCUUCUCCCGUGGGAGCACCUGGCCUGUGCCCGGAACCCUGCCCCAGCCCGUGCGUUUUUAGGAGCAUGCUGGAGAAUAAGGGCCUUGGCAGCCCCCAGGUGCGUACACGAGCUCCUGCCACGGCGUCCACCUGCGUGCCCCGUGGGUUGUGUCCCCACGGCCCCCACCUCGUUGUGUGUGACCCCCCCCGGUGCGGGUGCCACGGGGCCGGAGGGUGCCGGGGCGUUUGGAGGAAGGCACAGCGGGGCUUACCCUUGCAUAUCUGGAGGAGUAGGGAUCCUCGAAGAGCGCCCAGAUGCGGGGCUGCCACCGCCGCCAGAAGCCCCCGGACCUGCCAUCGGGCGAGUCGCUGAGCGCCAGGCGUUUUGUCAUCUCCAGCUCCUCUUCCCCGUCCCCGGAGUCCCCGGUGCCAUCGACGUCGCCGUCCUCGGCGCUGCUAUCCAGGGGCGCCCCACCAAAGCUGUCCAGGGCCUCUUCGGCGUCGCGGUGCUGGCGGUAGGUCAUCCAGCAGCAGGGCUCCACGUCGGUCUCAUCGAUGCCCCAGAAGGCCAGCUCCUCCUCGUACAGGGGCCCGCAGACGUCGGCGGGGCAGUGCAGCUUGCCCGUGCGGUAGUAAUUCAGGAUGUGGGCGAAGACGCCCGGGUGGCGGUCGAAGAAAAACUCGUCCGUGCGGGGGUCAUAGUCGAAGUGGCUGUGGGCAUCGGGCUCGGCGAUCCAAGCCAGCCUUGUGCCGGGCAGGGUGCGGAGGGUGCUGCGGUAAGUCUGGUGCCUAGUCCCUCCCACGUUGAUCACAAUGCGGUCGCUCUCGUCGCCCUGGCCCAUCUCGUCUCUUCUCAGGCAUGUCGCAGACGCAUCCGAGCAAGCACGGCAGGCAGCGAGCCCGCGAGGGGACGGCUGCGGGGCCGGCUCCGCUCCCGGCGCCGGGGGCUGCCGCUGCCGCUGCCCGGCUCAGGCGGGGACAGGGGCAGGGGCAGGGGCAGGGGGGGACAUGCUCCGGGAGCGCGGCCGCUGCGGCGGAGGCUGGGGGGAGCAGCGGGGCCGUGCCGGAGGGGGAGGGCCCUUCGCUGGUUGGCCGCGGCCAAAAACAUAGGAGGAAAAAAAAAAAAAAAAAAAAGGGAAG